rnacentral:lncRNA from 1 species
GGGAUUCAAGUGCAGAACACCUCAAACCGCCCAGCUUUAAAAAGCUUGGGCUGGGGUAUCCGCCGCCACUGCCCGGCGGUGAGCGGUAGCUUCUCACCUCUCUUCUUUGCUUGCCUUUGCGCAAUUCCUCCCUGUAGCACCUGAUGUUUGCCUUCAAUUUUUCAUUUACAUGUCUUUCCCCUCUCAAAUGUACAUGCAAACCUAUAAUGCACUAAAGACAGAGUUUAAAAACAAAUAAACAAUCAACUGGGUUGCCUCCCAGGUAGCGCUUGUUUAACGUCACGAGCUUGACCCAAACCUGUUUAGCACUCAUCAGUAAGUGC